AACGAACGCUGGCGGCAUGCCUAACACAUGCAAGUCGAACGAGAUCUUCGGGUCUAGUGGCGCACGGGUGCGUAACGCGUGGGAAUCUGCCCUUUGGUUCGGAAUAACAGUUGGAAACGACUGCUAAUACCGGAUGAUGACGAAAGUCCAAAGAUUUAUCGCCAGAGGAUGAGCCCGCGUAGGAUUAGCUAGUUGGUGUGGUAAAGGCGCAACAAGGCGACGAUCCUUAGCUGGUCUGAGAGGAUGAUCAGCCACACUGGGACUGAGACACGGCCCAGACUCCUACGGGAGGCAGCAGUGGGGAAUAUUGGACAAUGGGCGAAAGCCUGAUCCAGCAAUGCCGCGUGAGUGAUGAGGGCCUUAGGGUUGUAAAGCUCUUUUACCCGGGAUGAUAAUGACAGUACCGGGAGAAUAAGCUCCGGCUAACUCCGUGCCAGCAGCCGCAGUAA
rnacentral:rRNA from 1 species